AUUGAACGCUGGCGGCAGGCUUAACACAUGCAAGUCGAGCGGGGAAGGGUAGCUUGCUACCUGACCUAGCGGCGGACGGGUGAGUAAUGCUUAGGAAUCUGCCUAUUAGUGGGGGACAACAUUCCGAAAGGAAUGCUAAUACCGCAUACGCCCUACGGGGGAAAGCAGGGGAUCUUCGGACCUUGCGCUAAUAGAUGAGCCUAAGUCAGAUUAGCUAGUUGGUGGGGUAAAGGCCUACCAAGGCGACGAUCUGUAGCGGGUCUGAGAGGAUGAUCCGCCACACUGGGACUGAGACACGGCCCAGACUCCUACGGGAGGCAGCAGUGGGGAAUAUUGGACAAUGGGCGCAAGCCUGAUCCAGCCAUGCCGCGUGUGUGAAGAAGGCCUUUUGGUUGCAAAGCACUUUAAGCGAGGAGGAGGCUACUUGGAUUAAUACUCUAGGAUAGUGGACGUUACUCGCAGAAUAAGCACCGGCUAACUCUGUGCCAGCAGCCGCGGUAAUACAGAGGGUGCGAGCGUUAAUCGGAUUUACUGGGCGUAAAGCGUGCGUAGGCGGCUUUUUAAGUCGGAUGUGAAAUCCCUGAGCUAACUUAGGAAUUGCAUUCGAUACUGGGAAGCUAGAGUAUGGGAGAGGAUGGUAUAAUUCCAGGUGUAGCGGUGAAAUGCGUAGAGAUCUGGAGGAAUACCGAUGGCGAAGGCAGCCAUCUGGUCUAAUACUGACGCUGAGGUACGAAAGCAUGGGAGCAAAAUG
rnacentral:rRNA from 1 species